UUGCGCAUUUCUCUUGCCUUUGCAUCUGUUUUCUUGUCCUUGGAGCGCUCCAGGCUGCGAAUGCAAAGGCUAGGGGUGGAGCUGCAGCCCGCGGGUCGGCCGGGACCGCCAGGUGGCGGCCCGGAGCUGUGGGAGCGCUCGCUCGCCCAGCUCGGCUCGGCCUCCCCAACUCCCAGAAUUUUUGAGAGCUUGACCGCCGUGGAGAUCCACCCUUUUCCUUCCUCCCCCACCUCCGUCCGCGGAUGUUUUCGUUCCAUAUUUGAAUUUUGGCGGGGUGGAGAGGAAGAGGAGGUCGUGCACUUAACUAGCCGCUGAGGGGCUUUUCCCUAGGACCUGGGCCUCUGGGCCACUAAGAAAGAAACGUCAAACCCAGCAGGAGAAAGAGAAGCCAGAGAAAGGGCAGCCCUCGCGGCGGGAGACGACCGGGACAGGGAAGGGAAGGGAAGGUUCCCAAAGGGAGGACGCGGGAAAGCGGUAGAGAAGCCAACAGAGACGGGAAGACGGGGCGGGGCUCCGCGGGGCAGCAGGUGGCUGGCGUGAGCGCACAGCUUGGAGACGCGAAGGUCGCGACCAAGGAGGCCGCGGGGUCCCGGCAGGGCCUCCCGCAGGCCCGGGUCCACAGCUGGUUUUUAGAGAAACUCCUUGAAGACUUAGAAGGAUACAAGGACCGUCCCAACGUGGGGAGGUGUGGAGUAGGGGAGGUCAGCGAAUCAGGUUAACCUUGGGAUCAGUUUGGUCAAAGCUCCUGCCCUUUUAAGAGACCAGGGACCCCCAUCUUCAGCGUGCUUGUACACCCCCGCCAGAAGCGGAUCUCGGCUGCUUGGUGACGUUCUGUUGCCAGUGUGUUCGUGCAAGGAUGACCCUGGAAAGUUCUGGAAGCACUCUGGGUCAGCUUCCGUUCCCUUGCGGUUUCUGGGGGUUUCUAUGGUACAGUGCCUGCCGAUGCCAGUGCCCAACCCAUUCUCAUACUUACUCCCAAGCUCCUGGACUCUCACCUUCUGGAAGAACAACUGAUUAUGCCUUUGAGAUGGCUGUUUCAAAUAUUAGAUAUGGAGCAGGAGUUACAAAGGAAGUUGGCAUGGACCUACAAAAUAUGGGGGCCAAAAAUGUUUGCUUGAUGACAGACAAGAACCUCUCCCGGCUGCCUCCUGUCCAAGUAGCUAUGGAUUCCCUAGUAAAGAAUGGCAUCCACUUUCAGGUUUAUGAUAAUGUGAGGGUGGAACCCACAGAUGCAAGCUUCAUGGAUGCUAUUGAGUUUGCCAAAAAGGGAGCCUUUGAUGCCUAUGUGGCUGUAGGUGGCGGCUCCACCAUGGACACCUGUAAAGCUGCUAAUCUGUAUGCAUCCAGUCCAAACUCUGAUUUUCUAGAUUACGUCAAUGCCCCCAUUGGGAAGGGAAAGCCAGUGUGCGUGCCUCUGAAGCCUCUGAUAGCAGUUCCAACAACCUCAGGAACUGGGAGUGAGACUACUGGGGUUGCCAUCUUUGACUAUGAACACUUGAAAGUAAAAACUGGCAUUGCUUCAAGAGCCAUCAAACCCACACUGGGACUGGUUGACCCUCUGCACACCCUCCACAUGCCUGGCCAAGUGGUUGCUAACAGUGGCUUCGAUGUGCUUUGCCAUGCCCUGGAGUCAUACACUGCCAUUCCCUACCAUAUGCGGAGCCCCUGCCCUUCCAAUCCCAUCACACGGCCAGCGUACCAGGGCAGCAACCCAAUCAGUGACCUUUGGGCAGUCCAUGCACUGCGGAUCGUCGCUAAAUAUCUGAAGAGGGCUGUCAGAAAUCCUGAUGAUAUUGAAGCAAGGUCUAAUAUGCACUUGGCAAGCACUUUUGCUGGCAUUGGAUUUGGAAAUGCUGGUGUUCAUUUGUGCCAUGGGAUGUCUUACCCAAUUUCAGGCUUAGUGAAGACAUAUAAAGCAAAGGAUUAUGAUGUGGAUCACCCACUGGUGGGAGAAGACCAGCUCUGCCGUCGGUUUCUCCGCAGCCCCAUGGCCUUUCUGUGGUGCUCACGUCCCCAGCGGUGUUCACUUUCACGGCCCAGAUGUUUCCAGAGCGGCACCUGGAGGCGGCGGAAAUUUUGGGAGCGGACAUCCGCAGUGCUAGGACCCAGGACGCGGGGCCCAUGUUAGCAGACAGGCUCCGGAAAUUCUUAUUCGAGCUGGACGUGGAUGAUGGCCUAGCUGCUAUUGGUUACUCCAAAGCCGAUAUCCCCGCUUUAGUGAAGGGAACACUGCCCCAGGAAAGAGUCACCAAGCUUGCACCCCGUCCCCAGUCUGAAGAGGACCUGUCUGCGCUGUUUGAAGCUGCCAUGAAACUGUAUUGAUCACCAUUUUAACUGCUGGAAGAGCCUCCUGCUGUUGUAGUUCUGGAAACAGCAGUUGAUCCAGAGAGAGUUUUGUCUUUUCGCCUCCACGUGUGACUUACCUGAACGUGAGAUAACGGAGCCUGCAGGAGGUUCCUUGAUGCCCAGAGUCAAGUUAUUUCCAUUCAAACUGCACGAAUGCCCACUGGGUCAGACUCUGGGGCCACACCUUGGGGUCAGUGUUCCCUGCCUAAGCCCCACAGAAUACUCUACUCUGUUCCUUAUUCAAGCAGGCAAAAACUCAGGAUUUAGCAAAAAGUGUAAAUUUACAUAUUCUGGGGUGGUUAUGGUGUCACGACAGGUUAAAGUUGCAGUGCCAGCCUCCCAUAUUAGAGCUCUGGAUCGAGAGCUCUGGCUGCUCUGCUUGUGAUCCAGAUUCUGUUCACACAUCCUGGGAGGCAGCAGAUGAUGGCACAAGCACCUGGGCCCCUGCCACCCAUGCCGGUGACCUGGGUGGAAUUCCAGGCCCCUGGCUUCAGCCUGGCCCACCCCUGGCUGUUGCAGGCAUUUGGGGAGUGAACUUGUGAAUGGCAGACUUUCUCUCUCUCUGUCUCUCUCUCUCUCUCUCAAGUAGAUGAAAAUAAAUACCUUUUUUUUUUUUUUAAGUUUUAAACAACACCCACAUCCUAUACCCAAUAACUGCAUGACUAUAAAUGUAUCCUCUGGGAAGGGUAUUUCUGGCAGCAUAUUUUCUAAUUAAAAAAAGAUACAACUUAAACAUUCAUUAAUAAUAUAUGGAUAAAUAAAUAACUGCAUAUUAAACAAACGGUGGAACACUGUGAUGCCAUUAAUAUGACAUGGUAAAUAGGUUGGAGUUGUUUGUUAGGUAUUGAAAGUUGGCAAAGAAAAAAUAAGUUGCAGAACAAUUACAUAUUAGUAUGAUCUGGUUUUUACUUUUUCUAUUAUACAUAAUUAUAUGUCUAUAUAAACAUGGAAAAGAAAGAUGCAUACCAAAAUAGUAAAUGUUUUGGCUAGAGAGAUGGAAUUUGAAGUGUGAGAAAAUACUUUAUAUUUUGUACUUUUUUAUUGUAUAAGCAUCUAGGUUGCUUGGAUUUAUUACAGCAAAGAUAUAUUACUUUUCUAAUUAAAAAAAGUAAAACAAAAUAAUUUUAAUGUUUUAGGUCAGCAUUCACCUUAUUUCACAAAAAAUAGUAACAAAUAUUUAAAAGGUAAAAAAAUCAACCAAAAGGGGUAAAAAUUUAGAGACCAACCCUCUGGUGAAUAAAUUGUUCUUUUGAGAAAAACACCACCAUCCUUUGUGGUAAUUCCCUCUUCAGACAAGUGUUUCUGGUGCUCAGAGUAAAUUCAUGUAAGAGCAAGCAGCUUGGCAGUUCACAGCUAUCAGCCUUGCGAGUGGGAGCCCAGUAGCCUGGCGACCCUCCUCCCCGCUGCUCGUAGUCCUCAGAAAAUCCACAGCUCAAAGGCUACCACGCUGAAGUUUGCCUGCCCUCGCACCGGCAGCACAGAUCCCUGAGCACUUACAGACUUACUUGGGUUUUAAAUAGAAUCAAGUUUUAUCUUAUAAAUAAGUACUAUGUAUAAGACACCAGAAUUUAUUGAAAGCAUUAUUGUGGUAUUCAGCUGCCUUGGCUCCCUGUAUCUCUAGAACAGUCUUUAUUUUGUUGAUAUUUUAAAAUAAUAUUCGGGGGAGGGGGCCUUCAAAUUAUAAACAUAAAAUGUGUUCCAUGCCCAAAACAAGCACUACAAAGAUAAACACAAAUCAUCCAAAAAGUAGCAAUUGUCAAAAAUUUUGUGUAUGUUCUUCCAGCAAUUUUGUAAGCAUGGACAUAUAUAGUCAGCUAUAUUUACUCAAACUUGCGCGUUUUUACUUAGAAAUGACAUCAUUAUGAUAUAAUUUCAAUUUUACAGAACAGCUAAAUUCUUUGUAUCAAGUGCUCCCAAACAAGUAUGAAACAGUACUAACAGAAUUUCAGCUGCAUCUUCCAGGCAAUCCCAACAGAAUUUCAGCUGCACCUUACAGGCGAUCUCAGAUUCCUUGGAGCUUUUUGGGAAGAUCACGGAGUCUGAGAGCAGAAGCUCCCAGAACAUGUGAAUGAGGCAGACAACGGUUCCACUUUGCCGAAGUGAGAUCCUUCAGGAAACUUUAGUAGAAGUUGCUAAUGGUCUCUAAAUAUACUUGGUACUAAUAGGAGGGUACUUCAAAAAGUUUAUGGGAAAAUGGGAUUAAAAGAUGAGUUUACUUUGGAGCAAAAAUUUCUGAAAUCUAAGGAUUGUUUUCAGAAUAGGCAUUUUCCAUGAUUUUUUUUUUUGCAGUACUCCUGGAGGGUAUGCGUAUAUUUUCCCUCACCCUCACCAUCCCUCACAAAGUCCAAGUAUGUUAGAGAACUCUUACAAUAUGAUCAUCCCUCAGUAUCUGAGGGGUUUUCUCCCCUCUCAUACCCAAAACCAUGGAUGCUCAAGUUUCAUAUAAAAAAUGGCAUAGUAUUUGCAUAGAACCCGUGCAACUUCAAGUCAUCUCCAGAUUACUUAUAAUAGCUAAUAUAGUGUAAAUGCUGGGUAAAUAGCUGUUAUAUCAUGUUAUUCAGGGAACAAUUACAAGGAAAAAGGUCUGCAUAUGUGUGGUACAAACUCAACCAUCAUAGGCCAAACUGCAUAGUACAUGAAUACUAAAAAAGCAAACAAUAUUCAAGCCAAAUUCCCGGUUCCAGCUCUUGACUCCAGCUUCUUGCUAAUGCAGACCCUGGGACAUGGCUAUAGUGGCUCAGGUAGUUGGGUCCCUGCCACCUAUGUGGGAAAUCUGGAUUGAGUACUGGAGAGAGGCACAGAGGAUCUACGAAGUGGUGGGAGGCCAAAGCAGGUUAUGCCCACACAUCACUUCAUUCGAGUCACAUGGAUUUAGCAUGGGGCUCAGCACGCAGCAAAUUCAAGUUUUACUAUUUGGAACUUUCUGGAACUUUUUUUAGUAUUUCUGAUCCAUAGUUCAGUGCACCUCAGAUGCAGGACCUGCAGCUACAAAGCAAUGACUGCAUAUUCUGCAGUGUGAUGUGGCAUCAUGGGGAGAGCAUUCUUAGACUAAGGUAAAGGCCCUGGGCUUUGCUCCAGUCUCAUCUGAGUCUUUAUUCAACCAAGCCCUCUUCUAGCCCACAUAUGCUCUGACUAGACUUUAUACAUUGCCUACUCUGUACUGUGAGAUUUUAGGUGUGGGGGAUUUAGCGUAAGAUAAUCUGAGAUAUAAAAAUGCACUCUCUCUCUCUCUCCAAUGUUUGAUGCCUUUACUAACAGGAGCCAGAUGUCUGAAUGUGACUCACCAGAAGUAUCUGGUGUUCAUACUGAUGAUGACUCCACAGAGGAAGAAUUUAAAGGUCACGCAAGAGGAAACAGAUUCAGGAAGGCUUCAUGUUUUUUCUCUUGAUACCCAUCAUUUUGGUCCUUACAUUUGAAAAUGAGUAUUUGUGGUUUAUCAACUAUUAAAAGAGAGUGAGAUGGA